ensembl:snRNA U6 U6 spliceosomal RNA
GUGCUUGCUUCGGCAGCAUAUAUACUAAAAUUGGAACAAUAUAGAGAAGAUUAGCAUGGCCCCUGUGUAAGGAUGACACGCAAAUUAGUGAAGUGUUCCAUAUUUUU